rnacentral:misc_RNA from 1 species
GUUGUUAUUAAUAACAUAUUUAUCAUUAGUUACCAUUAGCAAUUUAUAAUUGGUUGAUGAAUAAGUUGUCAAUUGAUAUUAGAAGAACCUUAAAUAUGUAAUUAACAACCGAUAUUAAAAUCAGCUAACUGCAAUCAAUUUAGGGAAUCAAUUGCUAAAUUAAAAAAUUAUUUUAAUUGACUCCAAAAUUAGCAACUCAUUUGCAAUUGGUUUUAAAAAUCAGUUGUAAAUAGCAAUGGAUUUGCAAUUUGUUGCUAAAAUUGAUUGUUAUUUGCAACCGAUUCCUUAUUGGUUACUAUUUCAAAUCAGUUGUUAAAUUAUUCCCCUAAAAAUUCUUGUCUAAUUUUUUUUUAUUUAUAACUAAUUUUGCAACCAAUUUUAAAAUUGAUUUUUCCUUCAAAAAAAUGCUGCUUAAUUUUUUGUUUCUUUUUUUUUUACUACUGAUUUGCAAAUCAAUUACUAACAAAAAUCAGUUGUUGUUAGCUACCAAUUUUUAAUUGGUUUUUUUCCCCAAAAAAUUCAUGCCCAUUUUUUUUUAUUUUUUUACUUUGAUUUGCAAUCGAUUUGUUAUUUGGUUGAUAACAGUAACCAAUUUUAAAAACUGAUUAAAAUUGGUUACUAUUAACAACUGAUUUUCCCUCAAAAAAUUUUUGCUCAUUUUUUUUAUUUUUAUUUACAAUAAAUUUGUGAAUUGGUUGCUGGCAGCAACUGAAUUUUAAAAUUGAUUUUCCCCCAAAAGUUCUUGUCCUUUUUUUAUUUUGAUUUGUAACUGAUUUACGAAUCAAUUGCUAAAAAUAACAGAUUUUUGCAACUGAUUGAAAUCAAUUGUUUUCUCUCAAAAAUUUCUGUCCAAUUUUUAAAAGAAAAUUAGCAAUCGACAAUUUUUUAGUAAAAUCGAUUGCUAAUUCAUUUAUAUAAACCACUACUCAUUUUCUUUCCCCAUUAUUUAUUUAUUUAUUUAUUUU